AGUGGGGAAUUUUUCGCAAUGGGCGCAAGCCUGACGAAGCAACGCCGCGUGGAGGAUGAAGGUCUUCGGAUUGUAAACUCCUGUCGACCGGGACGAAUGCACUCGACCUAAUACGUCGGAAUGUUGACGGUACCGGUGGAGGAAGCCACGGCUAACUCUGUGCCAGCAGCCGCGGUAAUACAGAGGUGGCAAGCGUUGUUCGGAAUUACUGGGCGUAAAGGGCGCGUAGGCGGCCUUGUAAGUCUUGUGUGAAAGCCCUCGGCUUAACUGAGGAUCUGCACGGGAUACUGCGAGGCUUGAGUUCGGGAGAGGAAAGCGGAAUUCCGGGUGUAGCGGUGAAAUGCGUAGAUAUCCGGAGGAACACCAGUGGCGAAGGCGGCUUUCUGGACCGACACUGACGCUGAGGCGCGAAAGCUAGGGGAGCAAACGGGAUUAGAUACCCCGGUAGUCCUAGCUGUAAACGAUGAUCGCUGGGUGUGGGGGGUUUUUACUCCCUCCGUGCCGAAGCUAACGCAUUAAGCGAUCCGCCUGGGGAGUACGGUCGCAAGGCUGAAACU
rnacentral:rRNA from 1 species